UGGGGAAUAUUGCACAAUGGGGGAAACCCUGAUGCAGCAACGCCGCGUGAGUGAAGAAGUAUUUCGGUAUGUAAAGCUCUAUCAGCAGGGAAGAAGAUGACGGUACCUGAGUAAGAAGCCCCGGCUAACUACGUGCCAGCAGCCGCGGUAAUACGUAGGGGGCAAGCGUUAUCCGGAUUUACUGGGUGUAAAGGGAGCGUAGACGGCUGCGCAAGUCUGAAGUGAAAGCCCGGGGCUCAACCCCGGGACUGCUUUGGAAACUGUGUAGCUAGAGUGCUGGAGAGGCAAGCGGAAUUCCUAGUGUAGCGGUGAAAUGCGUAGAUAUUAGGAAGAACACCAGUGGCGAAGGCGGCUUGCUGGACGAUGACUGACGUUGAGGCUCGAAAGCGUGGGGAGCAAACAGG
rnacentral:rRNA from 1 species